rnacentral:rRNA from 1 species
GACAGAGGGUGCAAACGUUGUUCGGAAUUACUGGGCGUAAAGCGCGUGUAGGCGGCUUCGCAAGUCGGGUGUGAAAUCCCACGGCUCAACCGUGGAAGUGCAUUCGAAACUGCGAGGCUAGAGUCCUGGAGAGGAAGGUGGAAUGCUUGGUGUAGAGGUGAAAUUCGUAGAUAUCAAGCGGAACACCGGUGGCGAAGGCGGCCUUCUGGACAGUGACUGACGCUGAGACGCGAAAGCGUGGGGAGCAAAC